CCUACGGGUGACAGCAGUGAGGAAUAUUGGUCAAUGGCCGUAAGGCUGAACCAGCCAAGUCGCGUGAAGGAUGAAUGCCCUAUGGUUUGUAAACUUCUUUUAUAGGGGAAUAAAGUUCGGCACGUGUGCAUUUUUGUAUGUACUCUAUGAAUAAGCAUCGGCUAACUCCGUGCCAGCAGCCGCGGUAAUACGGAGGAUGCGAGCGUUAUCCGGAUUUAUUGGGUUUAAAGGGUGCGUAGGUUGUUUGUUAAGUCAGCGGUGAAAGUUUGUGGCUCAACCGUAAAAUUGCCGUUGAUACUGGCAGACUUGAGUGUAGUUGAGGUAGGCGGAAUGCGUGGUGUAGCGGUGAAAUGCAUAGAUAUCACGCAGAACUCCGAUUGCGAAGGCAGCUUACUAAGCCGUAACUGACACUGAAGCACGAAAGCGUGGGUAUCAAACAGGAUUAGAUACCCCUGUAGUC
rnacentral:rRNA from 1 species